CUGAGGGACAGAACAUGGACGUCACUAAACAUGGCCUCCUGAGCCUUUUAGUCCUUCUGCUCUGGAGAAAAGGUCUGAUUGCUGGGGAUGAUGUCACCCAGACGGAAAUACUGUGGAAAGAUGAGCGAGACAAUGCAACAAUGACCUGCAGCCACACUAAGGGCAGCGGCUACUACCAGAUGUACUGGUACAGACAGCGGCCUGGAGAAACAAUGAAACUAGUCGUGUUCACUAUUGCAAACACUAAACCUGUCUUUGAACCGGACUUCAGAGGGGAGAAGUUUUCAGCCACCAAGCCUAACGCUGAGAGUGGGACGCUCACAGUGAAGAAGCUGCAGCCAGAAGAUAAAGGCUUGUAUUUCUGUGCUGUGAGUCAACACAGUGAUACAGAUGCACUCAACAGCUGA